AACUUAAUUAUGCACAUUUGAUUUACCUGUUUCUCGGAACAUGGUAUUUGAUAACUCUCAUGUAGCUUUGUUGAUGUUAAUAAAGAGGCCACCUGUAAUGGAUAGAAUCUCCAUUGAAGUUUCUAAUUUAUGUUGAGUGGUGAACUACAAUUUUUCAGAUAAGCACCAUCAAAAUCAAUUAGAGCUGUAAAGAUAUUUGCACCAUUUUUUAAAUUGGAUACUAAAAAGGAAAUAAAAAAGAAUUUAAAGUU
rnacentral:misc_RNA from 1 species